CGAGAGGAGGGAUGGUGAUAGCAACAGUAGUAGCGCUCCACAGAAUUUUCAUGAAGACAAAACAUCCUUCUCAAAGCUCCUGGUCCACAGAAAACACUCCCCACACAGGAGCAGGUGUGUUAUCAACAGUGUUGUUAACAGCAGAGAAGAACCAGUUUACAGUGAGGACUUGAGGUUCAACAUUUAAAAUCUAAGAACGCAGGUCAGGCAUGGUGCCACACACCUGUAAUCUCCGUACUGGAGAGGUUGUGGCAGGAUGAUUGCAAGAUCAAGGCCAGCCUGAACUAUAGAAAGAGACCUUAGCUCAAUUUCUUUUUUAAAUCUACAAACCCAGAGAAAGGUAACAGCACACUUUUAUGACUACAUAAGAAAAGCUGGAGUCACUGCAGUCCCCGAGGGGCAGAAGGGCUGGGGGGUUACUCAGUGGUCAGCAUCACUGUGUGCAUUUGUUAAAAGAACAAGUUGCUCCAUCUCACAGCAGACAUGCCUGCUAAGGGGAGAGAGCAGGCAUUCAAGGAAACAGAAUAGAAUUCUGGGGCUGGUGAGACAGGCAAAGGAACCUGACAUGCUGUUUGAUCCCUGGGACCCACAGGCUCCAAGGACAGAGCUGACUAUGGCAAGUUGUCUUCUGAAAACAAUUCUGAUGCUGAGCUGGGCUGGAGUGAAGAUUUCCACAACAAAAUAAAGAUGAUUGUGCACUCCCAACACUGAAUCCCAGAAAAAUCCAUCAAAUGCUGUAAAGGAGACGACAGAAGAAAAGACAUUAAGAAUGACUAAAAUCAAGAAGUGCCGGUUUCCUGAUCCUGAGUUAGCCAAGAGAAGACACAAAUCAAAUCCAGGGAGAUGCAGGGGAGGCCCAAUGUCUGACGAUGCAAGGAACCCAGCAAAACAAUCUCCUGGGACACAGGUAGAAGAGGCAGGGUCAGAAGCCAAAGCACAUUUGUGCUGGAGCCAGCUAAAGCCUUGGAGCUACCGAGUAUCCAUGGAGACUGUCUAAAACCUCG
rnacentral:lncRNA from 1 species